CCUACGGGUGGCUGCAGUAAGGAAUAUUGGACAAUGCCCGGAAGGGUGAUCCAGCCAUGCCGCGUGCAGGAAGACGGCCCUAUGGGUUGUAAACUGCUUUUGCACCAGGGAAAACCCCAUUACGUGUAAUGGGCUGAUAGUAUGGUGAGAAUAAGCAUCGGCUAACUUCGUGCCAGCAGCCGCGGUAAGACGAAGGAUGCAAGCGUUAUCCGGAUUCAUUGGGUUUAAAGGGAGCGUAGGUGGAGGAAUAAGUCAGUGGUGAAAGCCCAUCGCUU
rnacentral:rRNA from 1 species